UAAUGAUUGUGCACUGAGAAUUAGAGCCAAUUAUUUGCUAUGAGAAAAUGGCAUGCAUCUCUGCUUGGUUUACAAUUUCUUGUCCUCCUUCAACCUAAGAACAAGAAAUCACAGAGAAACAAAGAGAUGGAGUAAAGAGGGAAGGUAAAAAUAGGGGAAGU